AUGCUCGCUUCGGCAGCACAUAUACUAAAAUUGGAACAAUACAGAGAAGAUCAGCAUGGCCCCUGUGCAAGGAUGACAUGCAAAUUAGUGACGUGGUCCAUAUUUUU
rnacentral:snRNA from 1 species